rnacentral:lncRNA from 1 species
GAGGAGGCAACGGUGCAACUUUCUUCGGUCGUCCCGAAUCCGGGUUCAUCCGACACCAGCCACCUCCACCAUGCCGCCCAAGUUCGACCCCAACGAGAUCAAAGUCGGUGCGUGCCCUCGCCCCGCCCGGGCUGCCGGUGGAACCUUUUCUGCCGCGUGCUGUCCCGGGGCCUGGCGGGUCUCCCUUGGGCCUUGUCCUCCUCGUGUGUGAGCUGGGAGGGAGUCCCGACGAUCUGGCAGCCUGCGUGCCUUAGGGUAAGGCCUGGCCCUGGAGGUCUGCGGCCCGACGGCAGCGCGCAGGGCGGCCUGCGGCGCACUCCGCAGAGGUUCUGACUUUGCUUUUUCUCAGUGUACUUGAGGUGCACCGGAGGCGAGGUCGGCGCCACAUCCGCCUUGGCCCCUAAGAUCGGUCCUCUGGGUCUGGUAAGUCGUGGCUACUGAUGGGAGUCGUAGACAUGUAACGUGCAAGCCGUUUGGCCUGCAUGUGUGUUGUGUGCCUGCGGAGGUCAGAAGAGGGCAACAUGUGCUUGUUGCGGCCUCUAGUAUGUGGGUGCUGGGACUUGGGACUCGUGCCGCGGCUUUGUUGAGUGGCUCGUUUAAAUCCCAGCCAGCAGCCUUUAAAGGCACACAUUCCAUAGAUAACACAUGGGAAACUAGUAUUUAAAGCUCUGACUCUGAGCGUGCCCCAUUGCAGAUCUAAGUGAUUGGCCCUUAGUGCAGAGUUGGCUUAGCUGAGACGUGGAGCCAUUGCGGGUGGGCUCGUGUGGGACGGUGAGGAGGGAUAGUCCAGGCUAGCAAUGAGCUUGAGGCUCUGGCUUCAAUUUUGGGCACAUGGUAACUAAUGCCAUUAUUUCUACAGUCUCCCAAAAAAGUUGGUGAUGACAUCGCCAAGGCUACCGGUGACUGGAAAGGCCUCAGGAUUACAGUGAAACUGACCAUCCAGAACAGACAGGCCCAGGUAUUUCCGUUGGCUAGUGCGUGGGAGGGCUGAGGUAGCAUCCCUCAGGAAUUGUGGACAAAAAGAUACUGCUGUUCUGAUGAAUCGAUUGUAUCUGUGGGGAGGCAUAUAAGACAAAUAUUCGUUGUACGUGAGUCUGCCAUGCACGACUCUGCUGCUCAG